AAUCAAUCAUCAUCACCAUUAAAUUUUUUUGUCAUCCAUCAAAAACACACACAAAAACAAAACCAUUCCUAAUUCCUUCUGCUAUGCCCUAACAAUAGCUGUCUAUAUAUCUUCUCUUCACUUUCUCCGCGCCUCCUUAGCCUUUGCUCUUGGGGGUGCAUUUUACAAUUUACAAACAUCUUUUCUUUUUCAUUUUUUUUUAUUUUUCUCUCUCUAAAACAAUUUCUAUUUCUAUUUCUAUUUCUAUUUUUAAAUUAAUUAAUUUAAUAAUUAUCAUCAUCUUUAUCUUUGCAAAGUUUUCCGGUGAGAUUUGAUGGUUUCACGGCGGAGAAUUCGGAAGCCCUUCAAACUUGCAUGAUCUCCUCUCUUUCCUCUUUCUUUUCAUUCCUUUUUACCCCUUAUCUUACCAACUAAAGAAGCCUUCAAAGCUUGAGAUAAUUUAAGUUCAAAUCUGGUGAAAGCUGCUGAUUAAUCAUAAAAAGAUAAAAAUAAAAAAAUAAAAAACAGGUGGGUGCUACUACUACUACUAGGUAGCUCCUUCUGAAAUCCAUCAAGCUAGAGUUCUAAAAAGAACAACAUUCAUCUCAACUGUUUCUGAAAGUGAGAUCAAAUCUUUGCAGUCUGUUUUCUUCAUUUCUUCUUUUUAUAAGGAAUUUCGAGGGAAAACUUUUGAAAAACAAAAAAGUGAUCCAAAAAUGGCGUCUUCGUCUAAUUCACCGUGUGCAGCAUGCAAGUUUCUGAGGAGAAAGUGUCAACCAGAAUGCGUUUUUGCGCCCUAUUUUCCACCUGACCAACCACAAAAGUUUGCAAACGUGCACAAAGUGUUUGGUGCUAGUAACGUCACCAAGCUUCUCAACGAGCUCCACCCGCACCAGCGGGAGGACGCCGUCAACUCCUUAGCGUACGAAGCCGAUAUGCGGCUUCGCGAUCCGGUUUACGGCUGUGUCGGCGUUAUUUCCUUACUCCAACACCAACUCCGCCAGCUUCAGAUGGAUUUAUCUUGUGCGCGUUCUGAACUUUCUAAGUAUCAGAACUUCGCAUUCCCAAGCGGGGGUGGGGUUUUAUCAGUUUCUGCGGUAGCGAGUUCAGUCGCUUCCGCAGCAACUAAUAACACCCACCACCAGAUCCCUUCCCAAUCUCUUGGGAUAAAUCUCCUCGGACUUAGUGGUGGUGGGGGUUUAGGUGCUGGACCGAGGGACCAGCACCAGUUAUACUCCCACCACCAGUUUUUUCCGAGCAACCACCAGACGAGUGGUCUCAUCAACAGUUUAAGGGGGUUCGACAUGGCGGUAGCCGGUGGUGGUGGAAACCAUGGAUAUGAUGCCGGUGGUCUUCUUGCUAUGAAUAUGAAUGUCUCGGCCGCAUCGGGGAUCGGACAGCUAGGUCAGCUUCAUCAACAACCUACUGCUAGGACUGCCGGAGGUGAUGACCGCCGGAGUAUUGAUCCAUCUUAAUUUUAGGGUUUCUGGGAUUUUUAUGUCAUGGCUAGCUUUUACUCAAACCCUACCACAGGAUUGCAAGCUUUGAUUUAUGCAAGAGAUUUCAAUAUUUUGAGAGAAGAGACUCAAAGAUCAAUUAAAGCAAGAUACAUAUUAUAAAAGGAUAAAUGCAAGAGGA